rnacentral:sRNA from 14 species
CAAUGGCAGUAUUGGUUCUUCCGUAAUAAGUUCUUUUGAAGAGAAUAAUGAUAAUAAUGACG